GAUGAACGCUGGCGGCGUGCUUAACACAUGCAAGUCGAACGAUGAAGCCCAGCUUGCUGGGUGGAUUAGUGGCGAACGGGUGAGUAACACGUGAGUAACCUGCCCUUAAUUCUGGGAUAAGCCUGGGAAACUGGGUCUAAUAACGGAUAGGAGUGUCCACCGCAAGGUGGGUGUUGGAAAGAUUUAUCGGAUUUGGAUGGACUCGCGGCCUAUCAGCUUGUUGGUGAGGUAAUGGCUCACCAAGGCGACGACGGGUAGCCGGCCUGAGAGGGUGACCGGCCACACUGGGACUGAGACACGGCCCAGACUCCUACGGGAGGCAGCAGUGGGGAAUAUUGCACAAUGGGCGCAAGCCUGAUGCAGCGACGCCGCGUGAGGGAUGACGGCCUUCGGGUUGUAAACCUCUUUCAGUAGGGAAGAAGCGAAAGUGACGGUACCUGCAGAAGAAGCACCGGCUAACUACGUG
rnacentral:rRNA from 1 species